UGCACAUUUUCUGUCUGGUUGAUGUGGA
rnacentral:piRNA from 2 species